rnacentral:lncRNA from 1 species
GACAAAAUAUACUUGAUUCAUAAUCAAGAAAUAAUUAUUUCAGUUGUAUAAGUAGACUAGAUCCUUUUUCUUUAGUUAUGCUGUAGUAAACCAUAAUUUUGUACAUCAAAAUGUCUGCUUAUUUUUGUUUAUAUAUUAUAGAAGUGUGAUUUAAAUCGUUGAUUUUUAUAAAAAAUCUUUUGAUUAAAAUCGACAUGAUUCAAAUCAACCCAAUUCAAAUCGAACAACCCUGGUUAUCAGUGUUAUGUCAGAUAUAGAUGUACCGAAAAGUUCCUGUUUAACAGAGGGUCACGUCAUGGAUAUUAUGAUAAUAAAAUGGAACAUUGAUUUAUGAAGAUAUUUAAAUGAUAACAUUAAAUCAUACAAUUAAAUAUCAUAUUGGAACCGUUAUAAAAUGAUGGAUGAAGCUAUAAUAGAACUUAUGCAAUCAUUCAACUAUCAUCAAAGUAAGUGACAAUGUUCCAUUUGAUUAUCACAUUCUUGACGUGAGCCUUUGUCAGACGGGGCUUUUUUGGUAUCAUUAUGUACGACAUCACACUAAAAACUCUCUCAAAAUCAAAUUUAUCGAGAGAAGUAUUUUUGUAUUUUAAAAACCCGAUAUUGUAAUUGAUGGUUUCUGGUGCAAAUUCUCUAAAUUUUGAUGUAUCCUUAUCGCCCAUCGACAUUAUUUUUGAAAAAUUCAAGUGUUAUAUCUUGGCAUAGAUUUUCUACAAUAGUAAUACUUGGGAGUAGGAAUAAUUUCUUUUUGAAAGCUUUAUUGGUUAACUGGAUUUGGAUUUAAAUUGAUUUAAAUAAACAUUAUUUCUGACAAAAGGGGAUCAAUCUUAAAACAUCUUUUGCUUUUUUAUAUUGCAUCAUUGUUUCCAUUUACGUAAUAUUAAUAUACUAUUUUACUGAAUUGAAGCGCUUGGGGUAGUAGUCAAUUGUUUUAGAUCACCUGAAUUAAAAAAUAUAAAUUCAUUUCAGAGAUGAUAGUGUUUGUAUUUUAAAAGAAAUCAGGACAGAGAGUAACUAUUCUGUUCAGUAUAUGAGUAAAACAAAUGAUAUGCAACAUAAUAUUAACGAUAUGGAGUGAAAUAUUGCAAGAAACUUUUUGUACAACAAUUUUGGUUAUAUCCGUAG